UCCUGAUGGUUCUUCGUUUCUGGUUUUUCUCGCAGUGGAUGUACUAUUGAAUGCAUCGUAUGAGAAGCAUUUUUCUGUUAUCUAUAUCUACGUUUCAUUUGUUACAUCAAUAUUUUAUUUCGCCAUUUCUUAUAUCAAGGUGAUAAAUAUUUGAUUUAUUUUUCGGGAUCAAAAACCGGAUGACCGGUUUUUGGUAAUAGCUGAAAAUUUUGGACUUCUUCUCUCUUUGGUUACACUUCAAAAUUACGGAAGAAUAAUUUUUGGAAACACUUGACAAGCACAAUUUUGGCAAUCCUUAGAUCCUGACAUCGAUUUCUACUCAACACCUGAUUUUGGAAAUCACGAUUUUGGUACCAAUUCUGAAUUGGGACAACUGAACCUGGUGGAAGGGUUCAUCCCCAGGAAGGCCUUCACUGGACUGAAGUUAAGUUUUCAAAAGGAAAAUGACGACGAGAGUAUUUUAUAGUAUUAGAAAUUUGUAUUUUCGAAGUUCAAUUAUGCUUGUAAUUUUUUAUUUCCUUUAGUUAUUUUCAAGAUCCUUUGAUCAAUUCUUGCUUAGCACCGAAAUAAAAUAAUCUCCAUCUGGGAGGAUAAUAACAGAAGUACCACCCUUAAUUAUAGGGGUAGGAUACAAACCGGCUCCCAACGUGAUGCCUUUCUGAUACGUAUAAGCCUGAAUUGAUCAUAUGGUUCUUUGAAUUUUUUUUGUAAAAGAUUAGGAAGUGGAAAUUUUCUCAACUUUCUUGAUCAUUUCAAUUUCUCUAUUCAUUUAUUUUUAUCGUUCUUUAUCGGCCUGAUUUGAUGAUUUCACUGCAGCCGCUGUCAGACAUUUUGGCGCCCCAGACAAAAAAAUUUCGCCGCCCUGCUUUGCCUAAUUUAUCUGAAUUUUCUUUGAAGAAACAUUUCUGUGUCAAAAAUGAUGUCUUGUUUUAUUAACUGAAUUUGUGCCCCUACAAUUCAGCACCCCGGCAAAAUGUCCGAUAUGACCAUCCUGGCGCCGGCCCUGAAUGCAUCUUUCUUGAUUUCUUUCGUUUCAUAGAAUAGUUAUUUACGUAACAAGUCCGGAAAAUAGGGUUUUUUUGGACGAAUAGACAAAGUCUGUGAGUCUGUGUUUCGAGCGUGUUGCGUACAAUAUUUUUUCGGCAACCGUGUAGAAUAACAAAUCAAUGGGACGACACAUUUCUUUUAUAUACAUUUUAAUUCUUAUUCAAACAGAACAGAAAAUACAACAUAUGAACUAUCAGCCGUUUUCUCGGUUGCUAUGGUAAUGAUCGACAGCAUUUAUUAAAAAUAUACCUACCAAGAUUUUUAUAUUCACAAUGACACAAACGACGUGAUUUUUUUCCCGGCCUAGUCCGGGAAGUACGUACUUUCCGGACUAGGCCGGGAAAUGAGCACUUCCCGUACGAUUGCCGAAAAAAUACUUUUAAUAACUGCUUCGAGUGCGUAUAUUUUUUUUCUCUUUAUAUAACUCACAACAAAAUGAAUAAAUUCAAUCCUAAUUAUUCGAACAGCAUUGAAUUCUCAUAUGAGAUCUGUAUUCGGGGUAUACAUAUAGAUCCACCAUCAACUGUGGAAGAAAAACUGAAAAUUUAACGUGGUCUUUUAGCACAGAGAGAAUAAGUUUCUUCGAAAUUAGUGAUAAAUACAAAUUUGCUCAAAAUAUCGCUACAAUUUUCAGUACCAGUUGAUGGAUCGUCGAAUGCUCUUUGCGAAACACAAACUGAUGAUUUGAAAUUAUUUUCUUUCCUUCUACGAAAUCUGUUAGUCUUCUGUUAAUUAAUUUCUCUAUGACUUUACUAAUUACCGUUAAUAAUCGGCUUAUGUAUAGAUAGUUUUUUGUCUUUUCUUUUUUUCCAAAUUGAGAUUGUAAGAUUGUAUCAGCCGUUUUCCAUUUGUUUGGAUAAUAUCCUGUUUUUAGUAUGAAUCUGGCUAUUUGAAAGAUAUCAUCCCGUGCUUCUCCUGGUUAGUUUUUAAUUGCUUGAUUCUGUAUUCCGUCUAUUCCAGGUGCUUUUCUAUUUUUCAAUGUUCUGAUAAUUUCUUCAAUUUCUUCUUUAGUCACUCCUUUUAGAUCUUCUUUCAUUUCAUUGUUAUCAUUUUCUGUUAUAAUAACAAUAACAAUAAUAUUUAUUCACCAUCAAAUUUUACAUGGUUCGUCAAAAUAACAAUAAUAUUAAAAUUUGAAACAUAAAAGGCACCCUUCACCAAUACCUCCUUAAUUUUGCUGUCGAAAUUUUUUUUGGUAAAUUCUUUAUUUCAUUUGGAAGUCUAUUGAAAAGCUUUAUUCCCCAAUAACUCGAAAUAUUUUGAGUGUUCUUUUUCCUGUGGAGUGGAGUGAGAAGAUCGUUUUUGCAUCGAGUGUUGAACCUGUGGUAAGUUCCAAUGUACCAAUGUAAAGCCAAGCUUUUCUACUUGCUCCUUUGAAAACACCCUCACUGUCUACUUUUGCUGUUCCUUGUGUAAUUCUUUUGUUUUCCCUUUUCUUCCUUAUUUGUUGACUCUCCGUUUGGUUUAUAUUUCCGAAACUUUUCUUUCCGGCCACUGGCGCCACAGGUCGCAACAACAACUCGUCGGUAGUUCCAGAAUGAGAUGUCGAUUUUGAUCUACCGCGGGAAUUGUAUUUGAUAUUGCUGUCAUCCGAAUUUUGUGAAAUAUCCUUUGUUUUUUUAUUGUCUUUUUUAACCUCAGUUUUUGAUGUUUUCAAUUCUUGACUCACUUUAUUUGUACUUGCACAUUUGAAGAAAUUUAUCAAUAAUCAGUUCUUUUUUCCAUUUGAUAUUGAAUCAUUUCCAUUAAAUUGAUGCUCUUUUUCAGGUUCUGUUUUUCAAUUUCAAGUUUUUGACAGUAUUUAUUCUUGUCACCUCCCUUUACAGAUUCUUUUAUAUUUUUCGCUAUACACUCCAAAUCAAGUGCUGCAUUCAAAGCACCGUUUCUUCAGUUCUUUUUCCCAUUUGAAACUGUAUCAUUUCUAUUGAAUUGAUGCUCUUUUUCAGGUUCUGUUUUUCAAUUUCAUGUUUUUGACAGUAUUUAUUCUUGUCACCUUCCUUUACAGAUUCUUUUAUAUUUUUCGCUAUACACUCCAAAUCAAGUGCUGCAUUCAAAGCACCGUUUCUUCAGUUCUUUUUCCCAUUUGAAACUGUAUCAUUUCUAUUAAAUUGAUGCUCUUUUUCAGGUUCUGUUUUUCAAUUUCAUGUUUUUGACAGUAUUUAUUCUUGUCACCUUCCUUUACAGAUUCUUCUAUAUUUUCCGCUAUACACUCCAAAUCAAGUGCUGCAUUCAAAGCACCGUUUCUUCAGUUCUUUUUUCCAUUUGAAACUGAAUCAUUUCUAUUGAAUUGAUGCUCUUUUUCAGGUUCUGUUUUUCAAUUUCAAGUUUUUGACAGUAUUUAUUCUUGUCGCCUUCCUUUACAGAUUCUUCUACAUUUUCCGCUAUACACUCCAAAUCAAGUGCUGCAUUCAAAGCACCGUUUCUUCAGUUCUUUUUUCCAUUUGAUACUGAAUCAUUUCCAUUAAAUUGAUGCUUUUUUUCAGGUUCUGUUUUUCAAUUAAAAGUUUUUGACAAUAUUUAUUCUUGUCACCUUCCUUUACAGAUUCUUCUAUAUUUUCCGCUAUACACUCCAAAUCAAGUGCUGCAUUCAAAGCACCGUUUGUUUUGACACUAUUCGGCACUUUUUUAUUGAUUAUAUAUUCAAUGAGCUCAUCCUUUUUCCACUUAUUUAGCUCAUUCAUCAACUGCGCUUUUGACAUCGCCAUGUUCAAACUAUUCAAUAAUAUUUUCAUGUAUUUCAACUGAUUGGUUAAAUUGGUCGUCGUUAAUUUUUGGAUUCGGCUUAAAUUGAUGUUCCAGUGAUUCUACAAAUAUUUCUGUCUUUUCUUCAUAUCUACCUGAUUUCUUUCUUCAGUUUUGGUAUCUUCGCUUUCGUUUUCUUUCCGGUUAAUGCUGUCGAUAUUUUCCACAGUUAUUAGUUUUCCGUAUCUAGUUCUAUUAGCUUUUUCCCAGUCUUCCUGGAACACUUGUCUGACUCUGUUUUUCACUUCGUUGGUCAAUUUAUUCAGUACAAUUUUUCGUCUUCGGCUUUUUCUUUUCUCCUAACAAUAUUCUCACGUCAGUACUAGGACCAAAAGAUCCCACUCUAUCCACGAAAUAGGUACGAUGAACGUUUUAGACAUAGCAUUAAUGCAAAAUCAAUCAGCAAAUUAUGAAUUAGAAACCAAGAUGAUUUCUCAUCAGAUCCCAGCCCAGUGAUCUUGACAUAAGAAAUUGGAAUAGACAGAUUUCCCACGGACAGAAAAUCAUUUAAUUGAUUAAAAUUCAAAGAAAUCUUUCAAGCAAAAAGUGUGAUGAAAGAAAACAGGGAACAGAGACGAAGCAAUCAAGGACCUAGAAAAAAGAAUAAUCGAAGCUACAGCACAGUCCAGUAAGAUCAAAAGAGUACCGAAAAAGAGUUCGCUACCUUUAUAACAUAUUACAUUUGUCUGCUAUAGCUCUCAGUUUAUUUCGUUCAUUCAAACAACCUUGAAGACCCCAUAACCGUAUACAGGAUGUUCCUUCAAUUACGCGCUGAAUAACUGUUUCUUUUCGCACCAUUUUAUUUUUCCUUGUUUUUAUUUUGUAUUUCUCCUUUCUUUCUUUUUUAUUACUUCCUUCUCUUCUCGUUCUUCAUUCUCUUUCAUUUUAUUUUUCUUUCUCAUUUCUUUCUUUCAUUUUGAUUGCUCCAACUUUGAAGAACGAUUUACGUAUUUGAUAAGAUCAUAACCCGGUAUACUUGAUUUUAAUUUCACGAAUUCUUGUGGUGAAAAAAAUUUCAGGAUUUCCCUCAUACAUUCAAAAUCGAGCAUUACGGCUUCAUCAAAUUGGAGGGAUGCAAAAUCUCCUGUGUCGAGAAAUAGUUUCAACCCUAAUUUAUAUUUGUUUAUUACAUCGUGACCGUAAAUUGGGUACUUACUUUCGUCUAUUAAAUACAUAACUACCCUCAAGAGUCAGCUUUUACGAAGUUGGGAAUUUCUUCUUCUGCUCGAUAGGAGAACUUUUGUACAACUGAAGAAUCUCUUUCCAAUUUUAUAUUCACGCAUUGUGACCGAGUCCAACCAUUGCAAUUCGUUUCUACAUUGUUUUUCGAACUGGACAUCCGGCAAUAAAUGACUAUAUCGAAAUAGACCCUCAAAUUCAAGUAGAAUCAAAUGUUUCAGUAUUCCUUGUCGUAAAACCGAAGAAUGUGUCAAUAAGACAUCAAGAAAAGUCCUAUUUCGUUCGUUUAAACCUUUCGCAUAAAUUCCGUUUCUCAGGAAUAAACAAUGAAAUGGUAAGUAAUGGUCACAUUGUCGAGUAUGGAACAUCAAUGUGUGCAGAACUGUCUUUGAACUCUAUUGCUCCUCAUAUCCGUCGCUUCUUACUCAUGAAGAAUCUCAGGGUGAAUCGCGCUAUAUCUAUCUAUCUAUCUAUUUGUGACAAAGACUGUACUCUAUAUUAUAAUUCUUGUUAGGAUCUAAAUUGGGAAUGUCUUUGUAUUUCAAAUAGUACACAAAUUGACUGAGCAACCGUUUAUCUGAAAUCAAAUGAACAAAAUAAUUAGAUAUAAUAAAACACUACGAAUUAAAACACAAUAAUAAUAAUAAUAAACAAACUUUAUUUUGAGGAAACACUCAACAAUCAAACAUUUGAACAAAAUAGUGUCAGCACGAAAGAAAUAACAAUAAUUUUAAAUUUACUCAAGUUGGGAAUUGACAAUUGAGAAAACUACUGACAUCAUAAGAUUCCAGAUUCAAUAACAUUUCGUGAACUGAUUUUUUGAAUUGUUUAAGGUUGUUUAUUCUCUUUAUAAAAUUCGGGAGUUUGUUAUAAACAAGACAUAUGUAUAAAGGACCCUUUUCAGAUAUUAUAAGCCUAUGUAUGGGAUAUGUAUAUUCCAAUGAUCUUGUUGGAUAAAUAUUUUUUGUUUGAAGUUUUCGAAAAUAUCCCUAUUUUUGAAAAAGAACAAUAAUAAUUCUUGAAUAUUUAUUACAAAGACCGUUAGAAUUAUUAAUUCCAUUGCUGGAAUACCAUAUGCAUUCAACUUUAGAAAAAGAAGCUCAUGAUUUAAGCAGUCGAAUGUUUU